GAACUAUAUCGCAUGCCAGCCUCUGCCAGAAUAUCCUUCCGCGGCGGGGCGGCGCGUCGCCUUCACACUCCGACGGUAAGUCGGGCCAGUAGUUGCUCCGAGCGGGAGUGUCCGUACUUAGGGAGAGAGUGACGGGAGGGUACGGUGAGAACAGGAGGUCGAUGGAUGGAGAGCCAGAGAUCUGGACAGAACCAGCUAGGGAAGGAGCAAUUGAUACAGAAUUUUACAGGAACCAUUGCAGAUAAAGAGCCCAUCCCAUAGGUACAGGAACGUCAGAACCCAAACUGCCAGACUGGUAACUACACUUUCACCUAAUAAAUACCCUGCCAUCGCCAAGGUCUCAUCACUCGCAGGAGUUUGGGACUGAGAGGAAAGUUGGAUCAGCCAUGCUGAAAUGGUAGAGCAGAAACGAUGGACCAAAUGGCCUAAUUCUGCUCCUAUAUCUUAUGUACAAGGUGAUGGCAACAAGGGAGUUGUUCUUCCUGGAGGAGAAAUUUGGGAGAAAACCCAAAGGAAGUUAUGAAGAUUAAAAAGAAAAUGUCUAAAGUUAUGAAAAGAAAAACACUUCUGAUCUUGAUUGAAAUGGUAACUCAGUAUCUUGUCGCCACAAGGAGUAGCAUCUAUCAUCGAGGACCCCUACCACAGGC